AUUGAACGCUGGCGGUAUGCUUAAGACAUGCAAGUCGUGCGGUAGAAGGCUUCGGCCUUUGAGAGCGGCGGACGGGUGAGUAACACGUGGGAAUCUGCCUAUUAGUGGGGGACAGCCCAGCGAAAGCUGGAUUAAUACCGCAUACGCCCUACGGGGGAAAGCAGCAAUGCGCUAAUAGAUGAGCCCGCGUAAGAUUAGCUAGUUGGUAAGGUAAAGGCUUACCAAGGCGACGAUCUUUAGCUGGUCUGAGAGGAUGGCCAGCCACAUCGGGACUGAGACACGGCCCGGACUCCUACGGGAGGCAGCAGUCGGGAAUAUUGGACAAUGGGCGCAAGCCUGAUCCAGCAAUACCGCGUGUGUGAAGAAGGCCUGCGGGUUGUAAAGCACUUUCAGUUGGGAAGAUAAUGACGCUACCAACAGAAGAAGCACCGGCUAACUCCGUGCCAGCAGCCGCGGU
rnacentral:rRNA from 1 species